UACGAGGGGGGCGAGCGUUGUUCGGAAUUAUUGGGCGUAAAGGGUGCGUAGGCGGUUUGGUAAGUCUUAUGUGAAAUCUACAGGCUCAACUUGUAGUCUGCAUGAGAAACUGCCGGGCUUGAGUAUGGGAGAGGUGAGUGGAAUUCCUGGUGUAGCGGUGAAAUGCGUAGAUAUCAUUUGGAACGCCAAUGGUGAAAACAGGUAGCUGGGAGUGUGCUGACACUGAGACACGAAAGCCAGGGGAGCAAACGGG
rnacentral:rRNA from 1 species